rnacentral:rRNA from 1 species
CCUACGGGUGGCAGCAGUGGGGGAUAUUGCACAAUGGGGGAAACCCUGAUGCAGCGACGCCGCGUGUGGGAAGACGGUCCUCUGGAUUGUAAACCACUGUCCCCAGGGACGAAGAUGACGGUACCUGGGAGGAAGCCCCGGCAAACUACGUGCCAGCAGCCGCGGUAAUACGUAGGGAGCGAGCGUUGUCCGGAAUUACUGGGUGUAAAGGGGGCGUAGGCGGGACUGCAAGUUGGGUGUCAAAUCUACCGGCUCAACCGGUAGCCGCACUCAAAACUGCAGUUCUUGAGUGAAGUAGAGGCAGGCGGAAUUCCUAGUGUAGCGGUGAAAUGCGUAGAUAUUAGGAGGAACACCAGUGGCGAAGGCGGCCUGCUGGGCUUUUACUGACGCUGAGGCUCGAAAGUGUGGGGAGCAAACAGGAUUAGAUACCCGGGUAGUC